rnacentral:rRNA from 1 species
CUAAGAAUAUUCCGCAAUGGACGAAAGUCUGACGGAGCGACGCCGCGUGGAUGAAGAAGGCCGAAAGGUUGUAAAAUCCUUUUGUUGGGGAAGAAUAACCAUGGGAGGGAAUGCCCGUGGGAUGACAUGAACCGACGAAUAAGUCCCGGCUAACUACGUGCCAGCAGCCGCGGUAACACGUAGGGGACAAGCGUUAUUCGGAAUUACUGGGCGUAAAGGGCAUGUAGGCGGCCUGAUAAGCCUGGCGUGAAAGUCACCGGCUCAACCGGUGGAUUGCGUCGGGAACUGUUGGGCUUGAGUCAUGGAGAGGAAGGCAGAAUUCCUGGUGUAGGGGUGAAAUCUGUAGAGAUCAGGAAGAAUACCAGUGGCGAAGGCGGCCUUCUGGCCAAUGACUGACGCU